rnacentral:rRNA from 1 species
AUGGCAGCAGGUACGAAGGGCGACGGGCCGGCGAUCGGCAUCGACCUCGGGACGACCUACUCCUGCGUGGCCGUGUGGCGGCCGGUGCACCAACGCGUGGAGGUCAUCGCCAACGACCAGGGCAACCUCACCACGCCUUCCUGCGUCGCCUUCACCGACACCUGGCGUCUCAUCGGCGACGCGGCCACGAACCAGGCCGCCAUGAACCACGCCAACACGGUCUUCGAUGCGAAACGUCUGAUCGGUCGACGAUUCAGCGAAGAGUCGGUACAAGGAGAUAUGAAGUUGUGGCCUUUCAAAGUCAUUUCAGGUCCUAGUAAUCGGCCGAUGACCCUGGUGAAGUACAGGGGCGAGGAGAAGCAGUUCGCAGCUGAAGAGAUCUCCUCCAUGGUGCUUGUCAAGAUGAAGGAGACAGCUGAGGCCUACCUCGGCACCACGGUGAAGGAUGCUGUCAUAACUGUGCCAGUCUACUUCAACGACUCGCAGCGCCAGUCCACCCUUGAUGCUGGUGCCAUUGCUGGCCUCAACGUCACGCGCAUUAUCAACGAGCCAUCCGCUGCAGCCAUCGCCUAUGGUCUCGACAAUGCGUCCGUCAACGGUGGAGCUAAGACGGUGCUGAUAUUUGAUUAUGGUGGUGGCACCUUGGAUAUCUCUAUCAUCAACAUUGACAAUGGCACCUUUAAUGUUAAGGCCACGUCUGGUGACACCCACCUUGGACUUGGAGGGGAGGAUCUCAACAACCGGAUGGUGGAGCAUUUCGUGCAGGAUUUCUUGAAGAAACACAAAAGUGACCUCAGAAGCAACCCGAAGGCGCUGAUGAAGCUUAGAGCGGCCUGCGAGAGGGCCAAAAGGAUGUUGUCUUACACGUCGCAGGUCAAGAUCGAGAUCGAGUCCCUCCACGACGGCAUUGACUUCUAUGGGACCAUCACCCGCGCCCGGUUCGAGGAGCUCAACAUGGACCUCUUCAGCAAGUGCAUUAUGCAUGUGGAGAAGUGCCUCGGUGACGCCAAGAUGGACAAGUCACGGAUUCAGGAGGUCGUGCUCGUCGGGGGCUCCACCAAGAUCCCUAAGGUACAGCAGCUGCUCCAGGAAUUCUUCAACGGGAAGCAACUCUGCAAGGGCAUCAAUCCGGACGAGGCUGUCGCCUAUGGCGCUGCUGUCCAGGCCGCCAUCCUCAACGGCGAGUACAACAAGAAGAUGCAGAACUUUCUCCUGGUUGACGUCACGCCGUUGUCGCUCGGGAUAGAGACAAGAGGUAGUGACAUGUCUGUGGUGAUACCCAGGAACACUACCAUCCCCGUUAAGAUGGAGAGCGGUUACACGACCAGCGUUGACAACCGAACCGUCGUGCUCUUCGAGGUAUACGAGGGUGAAGCGGGCUUGACCAAGGACAGCUAUCUGCUUGGCAUGUUUGAGCUCACUGGCAUCACUCCAGCGCCUCAGGGCGUGCCAUCAUUCAAUGUAACAUUUGAAAUCAAAGCAAAUGGCAUCCUGAACGUGGUGGCGGAGGACAGGGCGACCGGAAACAGGAACAGCAUCACCAUCACCAGCGACAAGGGUGGGCUGACCAAGGAGGAGAUCGAUCGGAUGGUGCGUGAUGCCAACAAGUACAAGUCCGAGGACAAGAAGCAGAUGGCGAAAGUGAAGAAGGAUCAUUGA